UACGUAGGUGGCAAGCGUUGUCCGGAUUUAUUGGGUUUAAAGGGUGCGUAGGCGGUCCCAUAAGUCAGUGGUGAAAUCCUCUAGCUCAACUAGAGAUGUGCCAUUGAUACUGCGGGACUUGAGUGAAGUCGAAGUAGGCGGAAUUGACGGUGUAGCGGUGAAAUGCUUAGAUAUCGUCAAGAACACCGAUAGUGAAGACAGCUUACUAGGCUUAUACUGACGCUGAGGCACGAAAGUGUGGGGAUCAAACAGG
rnacentral:rRNA from 1 species